rnacentral:rRNA from 1 species
AACGUAGGAGGCGAGCGUUAUCCGGAUUUACUGGGCGUAAAGCGCGUGUAGGCGGCUCGGCAAGUUGGAUGUGAAAGCUCCUGGCUUAACUGGGAGAGGUCGUUCAAAACUACCGGGCUUGAGAGUGUGAGAGGGAAGUGGAAUUCCGGGUGUAGUGGUGAAAUGCGUAGAUAUCCGGAGGAACACCAGUGGCGAAAGCGGCUUCCUGGCACACUUCUGACGCUCAGACGCGAAAGCUAGGGUAGCAAAC